rnacentral:lncRNA from 1 species
UCGCUAGUUGAUACCACCUACUCCCAUGGUUAGUUGCUGAUAGGAAUGGCAACGGGACGGGUCGGAGUCGGGUUUACACAUACCCAAACCUGAAAUUCAAAACCCAAACUCAACGGGGUUGAAAAUAAAAAUAUCAUCCCCGAAUCGGGUAACCCAAACCCGAAAAAAACCCAAAAAUUAUAAAGUAUUAAGGAAAGUAUGAUAUUAUUUUCGUGUAAUUUUCCUCUAACAAUUCUAUUUUCUCUUGUAUUAUUUCAUUUAUUUUAUGUUUGAAGAUCCAAGAGUAUGUAAAGUAAAAUUAGAAAUUAAAAACAAUGGGGACAUGAUAGAAAUUUCAAUUUUAAAUUGAAUUACCUUACUUCGGGGCAGGUUCGGGUCUUUGCUAUACCAAAGACGAACCUGAAAUUUAAACUCGGGUAAAACCCGAACCCAAUCACAUUGGGUUUUCCCGUUAAAUUUGGGUUCGGAUCGGGCGGGUACCCACGAGUUCAGUUUUUAUUAUCAUUCCUAGUUGCUGGAAGUUCCAGAUUUAAUACCAAAUUAAUUUAGGGAUAACAACUACUAAAAUUUUGCAAAAAAAAACAAUGAGGCUUGGGUUUAUACAUCUGCUUACCAAGACCUUCGGGGGAUGGAAAGGCUUGAAUCCUUAUCACCAAAUAGAGGUUGAUCAAGGCUUGAAUCUGAAGUUAAUAAAUUUUCAAAAUCAAAGAAGCAAAUGAAUGAUGGUGGUACCAAAGAGAAAAAGGAAGAUACUAGUUUUCCAAAAUAAUUAUUGUUGAGUCUUACCAAAGAGGAUGAGUAAGGAGCUGCCCUUGCUAAAUUGAACCCUCAAAUCAAACAUGCAAACAAAGCUUGCGCAAUAUUUGAGUUAGUUGUUGAAGAAUUGAGAAAAUUUAAGAGUGUUUUUGAAGUGAGAUUGAAGGUAGAAUGGUGAUUGUUGGGUGUCAGCUAUGAUGAGGAAAAGGAAGAAGAACGUUUGAUUGUGAGUGAG